rnacentral:lncRNA from 1 species
UAUUGCUAUAUGGUAUAGAGGCGUUUGCCGCAUGCUCAUCUAGGUUGCCCAAAUUUCAAAAGUGUCAUAUAUUAUUGUAUAAGGUUUGAUAUAUUGGUUUCGAUAUAGUUUCGAGACGAAACUUUUUGUAGGAGGGGGUGUAUGUCACCGGAUAUAUUUAUCCAUUUUGUUUCAUCUUUAAGCAUUUCAUAUUAUUUGUGUUUUCAGUGUUAUAUGUUUCCCAUUCAUAUCAUAUUCAUUUUUCAUAUUCAUGUUUCUUGACGAUUGACGACAAUUUUGCGCUGCCUAUUUUGAAAUAGACUAUAGCUUUGUACGCUAUGUUUUGC